UGGCUCAGAUGGUAAAGUGUCUGCCUGCAAUGCAGGACACCUGGGUUCGAUCCCCAG
rnacentral:tRNA from 1 species